rnacentral:rRNA from 1 species
CACCGCGGUGAGACGAGAGGCUCAAGUUGACAAACACGGCACAAAGCGUGGUUAAGGAAUUUUACAGACUAAAGUUAAACGCUUCCAAAGCUGUUAUACGCACUCGAAAGUAUGAAAUUCAACCACGAAAGUAACUUUAACACCCCUGAACCCACGAAAGCUAAGGAA